rnacentral:rRNA from 1 species
AUUGAACGCUGGCGGCAUGCCUUACACAUGCAAGUCGAACGGCAGCGCGGGGGCAACCUGGCGGCGAGUGGCGAACGGGUGAGUAAUAUAUCGGAACAUACCCUAGAAUGGGGGAUAACGUAGCGAAAGUUACGCUAAUACCGCAUACGCACUAAGGUGGAAAGCGGGGGAUCGCAAGACCUCGUGCUCAUGGAGUGGCCGAUAUCUGAUUAGCUAGUUGGUAGGGUAAAAGCCUACCAAGGCGACGAUCAGUAGCUGGUUUGAGAGAACGACCAGCCACACUGGAACUGAGACACGGUCCAGACUCCUACGGGAGGCAGCAGUGGGGAAUUUUGGACAAUGGGGGCAACCCUGAUCCAGCAAUGCCGCGUGAGUGAAGAAGGCCCUCGGGUUGUAAAGCUCUUUUUGUCAGGGAAGAAACGGUGAGUUCUAAUAAAGCUUGCUAAUGACGGUACCUGAAGAAUAAGCACCGGCUAACUACGUGCCAGCAGCCGCGGUAAU